rnacentral:misc_RNA from 1 species
AAAUAUCUCUUGAAUAUUUUUUAAUUAAUCAAUAAAUAAUUGCUACAUAUUUUAAUUGUUAUAUAUCGAUAAUAUUCAACCAUUAUUUUUCUUUUAGUACAAUUAACUUCAACGGUGACUCAAAUUACAAACAAGAAUUUUCCUUUUCCUAUAUGCUGCCGUUAGUUUGCAUUGUAUAGUAUUCACUAGAUAUAUUGCCACCGCUUGGUAAUAGUUGGAGAUAUGUUACACUCUGUAGUCAAAACUUUCAUGAAAAUUCCUUAUUAUAGUCUCAUUUUUCCACCAGG